CGGCUAAGUGUCUUCCCCAACUAACUUUUCCCGACAUAUAUAUGUAUCUUGUUCACAAUCCAUCUCCAUUCACCGGAGAGAGCCUGAAGGCUUUUAAGAGCACAGAUGCAUAUCAAUACGCCGUUGCCGGGUGGGUGAACGACACCAAGAUAUGGCAUGUCGAGAAGAUACACCUACAUGUGAUCACAGCGAAGGUCAAUCCUUCCCAGGCUUUGAACAGCAAACCAACAUCUCCAUGGAUUGUGGUGCAGGAGGACGGGACAGUGGUGAUGGCGCAUUGUACAUGCAUGGCAGGGUUAGGAGAGGUUUGUUCCCACGCAGCAGCACUUAUGGUUACAGUUGUGGCUGCUGUUGAGAAGAGAAAACCAGACAUGCACAGAGAAGCCAUGCACAUGGACACAGCCUAGCACUAAAAUGGUGAAGUACGAUGAGGUGUCUAACAUCUUCACCAUUAAAGAACAAGUUCAAGCCGAAGACCUGUUUCAGCACAUGAGACCAUCUGCUGAUGAUUUCAAGUUAUUCUGUGAACAACUCCACCAAAGUGAAGAACAAGAGACAAAGCCCAAGAAAAGUGCUAUCCUGUCGGUCAUUGAAGGCCAUUCCCACAGAUACGUACGCCAAAGACUGUACAACUGGAUCUGCCAACACCCCUUACCAGUCUGUAUCAAAGCAGUAGACUUGUACUGGAUUUGCCUGCACUGCUAGAGGAGGGUGCCAAAGUCUUUGAGGAGCUGAAUCUCACACCAGAGCAGAUGGGGUUUACAAAACGAGGACACUGCCACAAAGGCUUACCUGGUGGCUAUGCAAGAUCACCAUGAAGACAUCAAUGUUGCAGCAUCAGGGCUCAUCCUCAACCCAGAGCUGCCAUGGAUUGGUGCAUCCCCAGAUGGUGUCGUGACCUGUGCUUGCCAUGAGCCUGGCAUUUUAGAAAUUAAGUGUCCUUUCAGCGCUAAAGACUGCAGUCUACUUGAAUGCACCAAAGACUCGCAGUUCUGCCUGACUGUCCCUGAGGGAGGUGUGAUGAGCCUAAAGCUGAAUCACAGCUAUAUGUAUCAAGUGCAGGCACAAAUGCGUGUCGCAGAGGUAAUGUUCUGUGAUUUUGUUGUGUGGACACCUCAAGAACUUUUUAAACAGCGCAUCAUGUUUGAUGACGCUUUUUUUGAUGUUGCACAUUCAAAGGUGGUAAACUUAAUUAGAACAGGGAUACUACCAGAGUUGUUGGGUAAAUGGUUUAC